rnacentral:rRNA from 1 species
UUCUGUAAGCCUGCGAAGGUGUGCUGUGAGGCAUGCUGGAGGUAUCAGAAGUGCGAAUGCUGACAUAAGUAACGAUAAAGCGGGUGAAAAGCCCGCUCGCCGGAAGACCAAGGGUUCCUGUCCAACGUUAAUCGGGGCAGGGUGAGUCGACCCCUAAGGCGAGGCCGAAAGGCGUAGUCGAUGGGAAACAGGUUAAUAUUCCUGUACUUGGUGUUACUGCGAAGGGGGGACGGAGAAGGCUAUGUUGGCCGGGCGACGGUUGUCCCGGUUUAAGCGUGUAGGCUGGUUUUCCAGGCAAAUCCGGAAAAUCAAGGCUGAGGCGUGAUGACGAGGCACUACGGUGCUGAAGCAACAAAUGCCCUGCUUCCAGGAAAAGCCUCUAAGCAUCAGGUAACAUCAAAUCGUACCCCAAACCGACACAGGUGGUCAGGUAGAGAAUACCAAGGCGCUUGAGAGAACUCGGGUGAAGGAACUAGGCAAAAUGGUGCCGUAACUUCGGGAGAAGGCACGCUGAUAUGUAGGUGAAGUCCCUCGCGGAUGGAGCUGAAAUCAGUCGAAGAUACCAGCUGGCUGCAACUGUUUAUUAAAAACACAGCACUGUGCAAACACGAAAGUGGACGUAUACGGUGUGACGCCUGCCCGGUGC